GCCUGGGUGGCUCAGUCGGUUAAGCGUCUGACUUCGGCUCAGGUCAUGAUCUCGCGGUUUGUGGGUUCGGGUCCCACGUCGGGCC
rnacentral:tRNA from 1 species